AGAGUUUGAUCCUGGCUCAGAUUGAACGCUGGCGGCGUGCUUAACACAUGCAAGUCGAGCGAGAAAGUCCGCUUCGGUGGAUGAGUACAGCGGCGCACGGGUGAGUAACGCGUGGAUGAUCUGCCCUCAAGAUCGGGAUAACAGUGGGAAACCGCUGCUAAUACCGGAUACGCUUUAUGUUUAUCAUAAGGGAAAGGUGGCCUCUCAAGGAAGCUACCACUUGGGAUGAGUCCGCGUCCCAUUAGCUAGACGGCGGGGUAACGGCCCACCGUGGCGACGAUGGGUAGCCGGCCUGAGAGGGUGGCCGGCCACACUGGGACUGGAACACGGCCCAGACACCUACGGGUGGCAGC
rnacentral:rRNA from 1 species